rnacentral:rRNA from 1 species
GACGAACGCUGGCGGCGUGCUUAACACAUGCAAGUCGAACGGUGAAGCGCCUUCCUUUUUGGUGGGUGUGGAUGAGUGGCGAACGGGUGAGUAACACGUGAGUAACCUGCCCCCUUCUUCUGGAUAACCGCAUGAAAGUGUGGCUAAUACGGGAUAUUCUGGGUCUGUCGCAUGAUGGGUCUGGGAAAGAUAUUGUUUCGGUGGGGGAUGGGCUCGCGGCCUAUCAGCUUGUUGGUGGGGUGAUGGCCUACCAAGGCGGUGACGGGUAGCCGGCCUGAGAGGGUGGACGGUCACACUGGGACGGAGACACGGCGCAGACUCCUACGGGAGGCAGCAGUGGGGAAUAGUGCACAAUGGGCGCAAGCCUGAUGCAGCGACGCCGCGUGAGGGAUGGAGGCCUUCGGGUUGUGAACCUCUUUCGCCAGUGAAGCAGGCCUGCCUAGUUUGUGGGUGGGUUGACGGUAGCUGGAGAAGAAGCGCCGGCUAACUACGUG